rnacentral:rRNA from 1 species
UGGGGAAUAUUGCACAAUGGAGGGAACUCUGAUGCAGCGACGCCGCGUGAGUGAUGAAGGAAUUCGUUUCGUAAAACUCUGUUCUUUGGGAAGAAAAGGACUGUACCAUAGGAGAAAGCUCCGGCUAAAUACGUGCCAGCAGCCGCGGUAAUACGUAUGGAGCGAGCGUUGUCCGGAAUUAUUGGGCGUAAAGGGUGCGCAGGCGGCUUUACAAGUUGGAUGUGAAAUAUUGUGGCUCAACCACAAACGUGCAUCCAAAACUGCAAAGCUUGAGUUAAGGAGAGGUAAGUGGAAUUCCUGGUGUAGCGGUGGAAUGCAUAGAUAUCAGGAGGAAUACCGGUGGCGAAGGCGACUUACUGGACUUAAACUGACGCUCAGGCACGAAAGCGUGGGGAGCAAACAGG